rnacentral:rRNA from 1 species
GUAGUCAUAUGCUUGUCUCAAAGAUUAAGCCAUGCAUGUCUAAGUAUAAGCAAUUAUACAGCGAAACUGCGAAUGGCUCAUUAUAUAAGUUAUCGUUUAUUUGAUAGUACCUUACUACUUGGAUAACCGUGGUAAUUCUAGAGCUAAUACAUGCUAAAAAUCCCGACUUCGGAAGGGAUGUAUUUAUUAGAUUAAAAACCAAUGCCCUCUGGGCUCUUUGGUGAUUCAUGAUAACUUCUCGAAUCGCACGGCCUUGCGCCGGCGAUGGUUCAUUCAAAUUUCUUCCCUAUCAACUUUCGAUGUUUGGGUAUUGGCCAAACAUGGUUGCAACGGGUAACGGGGAAUG